AAAAAAAAAAAAAUCAUCAUUUAGGGGACAAGAUCUCACAGAGAGAGGAAGAUAGAACGAUUAUCCAUUAGUACGAUAAGAAAAAUAUGUGAGACAAUAUAAACCAUACAAACACUCAUUCCAGAGUUACUGCUCUAGCAGAACCAUAGACAUUGACAACGAACGCAACUUCCACAUACAAUUAAACUUUUUCCAAAAUACCAAAAACAGAUUUGGAUGUGAGGGAAAGAAAACAAUGCUUAGCGAAAUGAAAGCACGACAUUUGAAAGGAAAUUAGAAUAAACAAGAUAUCUUUAAAAAAAUACAACAAGAUAUCUUUAAAAAAAUACAACAAGAUAUCUUUAAAAAAAUAC
rnacentral:misc_RNA from 1 species